GUAAUCCUACGGGGGGCAGCAGUAGGGAAUCUUCCACAAUGGGCGAAAGCCUGAUGGAGCAACGCCGCGUGGGUGAAGAAGGUCUUCGGAUCGUAAAACCCUGUUGUUAGAGAAGAAAGUGCGUGAGAGUAACUGUUCACGUUUCGACGGUAUCUAACCAGAAAGCCACGGCUAACUACGUGCCAGCAGCCGUGGUACUACGUAGGUGGCAAGCGUUAUCCGGAUUUAUUGGGCGUAACG
rnacentral:rRNA from 1 species